GUCAACCGAAUCCGAACCGUCAAAAUUUCCAUUAUUUGAUAUUGUAAAUUGUUGUAAUGUAGGCCUUGAGUAGAAAGAACUGUUUCCAACAUCAAAAUAUUCAAAAUGUUUCUGUUCCUAAAGUAAGCCUAUUUUAUUUUAGUGUUUCUUGGUUUUUAGAAACAUUUGUACACACGUGUUCCUAUGUUUUAACUAGGCCUACGGUGUAAAUGCAGCUUUACAGCAGUUGUGAAGAGCGACCAAGCCUUUUGUAUGGUAAAUAUGCCUUCUACAAGCUUCUACUUAAGUCACAAGUUCCAAUACCUAUUGAGUGCAUCUCGGUGCUACGUUUUAUGUUGAUUACGAGCCAAAAACAGGUUAACACAGAAAGUAAAAGGAAUUAAAUCAAGAGAUUAUACAGAUUUAAGAAUUUAUAUAAUACAAUAGAAGAACACAGAAAAAGAAGAUAAAAAAAUCCCUCAAGUAUACUGAAGAAUACAUAAUGUGCAUAGCAUGAUUUUAAUACCAGAAGAUUCAAUAUUAAAUGAGAGAGAUAGCCUAUCAUAUAACUGCUGUACACUUAAGAAGUACUACAAAAGACAAAGCCGAUGCCUUGGAUACUGCAGGUUAUCUUUGAAACGUGUGGGGUAGUGAUGAACAAACUGCUUACUUACAUAUUUGUGAAAAUUACUUUUUAAAUUUACUAGAGUUUUGAAAAUAAACAGU